UACGGAGGGUGCAAGCGUUAUCCGGAUUCACUGGGUUUAAAGGGUGCGUAGGUGGGUUGGUAAGUCAGUGGUGAAAUCUCCGAGCUUAACUUGGAAACUGCCAUUGAUACUAUCAGUCUUGAAUAUUGUGGAGGUCAGCGGAAUAUGUCAUGUAGCGGUGAAAUGCUUAGAUAUGAACAUAGAACACCAAUUGCGAAGGCAGCUGGCUACGCAUGAUAUUGACACUGAGGCACGAAAGCGUGGGGAUCAAACAGGA
rnacentral:rRNA from 1 species